AUGGCUGUCGUCAGCUCGUGUCGUGAGAUGUUGGGUUAAGUCCCGCAACGAGCGCAACCCUCGGCCUUAGUUGCCAUCAUUUAGUUGGGCACUCUAAGGCGACUGCCGGUGAUAAGCCGGAGGAAGGUGGGGAUGACGUCAAGUCCUCAUGGCCCUUACAGGUUGGGCUACACACGUGCUACAAUGGCGGUGACAGAGGGACGCAAAAGGGCAACCUUUCGCAAAUCUCAAAAAACCGUCUCAGUUCGGAUUGGGGUCUGCAACUCGACCCCAUGAAGUUGGAAUCGCUAGUAAUCGCAGAUCAGCACGCCGCGGUGAAUACGUUCCCGGGCCUUGUACACACCGCCCGUCACACCAUGGGAGUUGGCUUUACCUGAAGACGGUGCGCUAACCGCAAGGAAGCAGCCGGCCACGGUAGGGUCAGCGACUGGGGUGAAGUCGUAACAAGGUAGCCGUAGGGGAACCUGCGGCUGGAUCACCUCCUUUCUAAGGAAGAUCCUUCAGAAGCACGCAUCCGCGUGCCGCUAUCGGAUCUCUUGGAAACAUCAGGGUAUGUCAGUUUCAGGAUUGGCAUGCCUAUUUGCGGGACUUCGCCGUCUACGUUUCUCUUUCUUCUCGGACGAGCCCACGCUAUCCAUAGGUCGUUGGAGCAUCCAUUGCCCGCCGUCCUUAAGACAGCGCGGGUCGAGCGUGUGCUCUGGGCCUGUAGCUCAGUUGGUUAGAGCGCGCGCUUGAUAAGCGUGAGGUCGGAAGUUCAAAUCUUCCCAGGCCCACCAAUCCCGCUUUUGCUGGGUACCCAAGAUUCUUCGCUAACUGGCGCGGGGCCAUAGCUCAGUUGGGAGAGCGCCUGCUUUGCAAGCAGGAGGUCGUCGGUUCGAUCCCGUCUGGCUCCACCAGCGGUGAUCCCUAUCGGCCUCGCUCAAAGAUAUCGUCCGUGAAAAUGAAUUCGCGUGAACGCGACUAAGCCCUUCCAUGGGUGCAAUUGCGUCGCGCGUGUUGUCUGACAUCGUGAAGAGGAGAUCGUUCCGAGCGAACGUGAGCGGCUAAAGGCCGUGACGUUCGCGCGCUCCUAAUGACGUGUUCGACUGCGUCCAUAAUCCACCGGCCAAUGUCGCGCAUGUUCAUGUCGGCGAAGCUUGACCGCCUCGCCGUCGGUUCGAUCUUGAAGCAAGAAUAGAGGUCUUUCUAAAUCAGUGUUCGAUCGGUGCGAAUGCAAAUUCGUAUCCGGCCAUCGGCCGUUACAUAUCUUGUUGCGGGAAUUCGCCGAGAAUUCCAACAACGAACGGGCGAUGGAUGGGCAUUGAUAAUGAGAGUAAUCAAGUGUGAUAAGGGCAUUUGGUGGAUGCCUUGGCGCUGAGAGGCGAUGAAGGACGUACUACGCUGCGAUAAGCCGCGAGGAGCUGCGAAGAAGCUUUGAUCCGCGGAUUUCCGAAUGGGGAAACCCGG
rnacentral:sRNA from 1 species